UCUCCGUAGGUGAACCUGCGGAAGGAUCAAUAUUACAUAACCGAGAUGCGAGGGCUGUAGCUUACUCUAAAGGUCGAGCAUGACCGAGUUCACUCACACUCAACCAUCUCCCUCCAAUCGACACCACAGCGACGACUCCCCUCAGGCUUUUUCGGAGGUGUCCCUUCGAUUUCGAACAAACCUGGUAGGCAGUGCAGACUGCAUUUUUCCUUUUUCCUAUCACCCUAUCAAAACAACUUUUCACAACUGAUCACUUGGCUCCCGCAUCCAUGAAGAACC
rnacentral:misc_RNA from 1 species